rnacentral:snRNA from 1 species
GCUGGCGACUGAAACCAGCGACAG